rnacentral:lncRNA from 1 species
GAAAUUUACAGACUGCUCAGAUAGGAGGUUUGUAAUUUCUCAAACCUGGUUUGAGAGCUAUCAACCAAUCAGGAUGCAGCACUGGGUGGAGAUAAUUUAUGCUCGAUUGAUUUUAUCCAAAUAAUUCACCGCCAAAACAAUCUGCGAUAGUAUCUGGUCAGUCCGAUUUUAGUGCAAUUGAAAUCUCUCAAUCUCUCGAUCCUUUCCUUAAAAUCUAAAGAUGGUAGAAAUGCAGCUGAUUCAGCAUAAUGAGCUGGUGUACCUGGAGGAGGAGCUGGAGCAAUAUAUAGCAGCAAAACCGGGCAGAGGCCUCUGAGUCUGAGAUUGGGAAAACCCGCUGGAUGAUGAGCCUUUUGUUUUAGAUUGAGGUAAUUCGAUCUAAAGGAUGCACCGUGAGGAGGUGGCAUGCCGUGUCAUAUUCAUCUGUUGGCCGAAUGGAGAGUAGUGAGGGAUGUUUCCGAAGCUGUUGUCAGAAGAAAGGGACAAGUCAUGAAGUUUCCUACAAGUUACAACAAGGCAAAUAGUGACUACUAUUCAGAAGCAGUUUUUCCAGUACUGCAGAUUUCCAGGAGUUGCUGUUGAUGGGACACAUGUUUACAUCAGGAGCCCUGGUGGGGCAAGAGCCAGGUACUACUUCAAAAGGAAGAACAGGUACUCCAUCGAUGUUCAGGUUGUCUGUGAUUAUGCUGGGAAAAUAACUAGUAUCGUUGCAAGGUGGCCUGGACUGGUAGCAGCCACGAUGCCAGGAUCUUUUCUGAGUGUGCACUGAAUUGACAGCUUGAUGCUAGGGCAUAUGAAUAACAGUUGAUUCUUGGAGAUAGACUAUAGGGUAUCCAUGCCUUCUCUGCCUCAUCAGAAGCCAUUUCUUCAUUCAGAGGCCAUCUGUACUGGUUCAGCCAAAGAGGAUUAGACAACCCAGCAAGGUCACUGACGGGAGGCUAUCUCAUCAAUUCAGUUCUCAAUUAA